AUACUUACCUGGCAGGGGAGAUGCCACGAUCACGAAGGUGGUUUUCCCAGGGCGAGGCUUAUCCAUUGCACUCCAGAUGUGCUGACCCCUGCGAUUUCCCCAAAUGUGGGAAACUCGACUGCGUAAUUUGUGGAAAGUGCAUUUGCACUUUCCCC
rnacentral:snRNA from 1 species